rnacentral:piRNA from 1 species
UGAUGUACACACCAGGUGCCCA